CCUGACCUUCAGGGCAUGGUGCGGCUUGUAAAAGCCAAUUCCUGACCGGCGGUAAAGCCCGCGAGCCUCAAUACUUUUUAGUGGCGAAGCAUGAUUCGGUGAAACUCCGAGGCCGACAGUAACAGUCUGGAUGAAAGAAGGUAACG
rnacentral:ncRNA from 2 species